rnacentral:rRNA from 1 species
AUUGAACGCUGGCGGCAGGCCUAACACAUGCAAGUCGAACGAGUGGCGGACGGGUGAGUAAUGUCUGGGAAACUGCCUGAUGGAGGGGGAUAACUACUGGAAACGGUAGCUAAUACCGCAUACCAUCGGAUGUGCCCCGAUGGGCUUAGCUAGUAGGUGGGGUAACGGCUCACCUAGGCGACGAUCCCUAGCUGGUCUGCGAGGAUGACCAGCCACCCUGGAACUGAGACACGGUCCAGACUCCUAGGGGAGGCAGCAGUGGGGAAUCUUGGGCAAUGGAAGAAAGUCUGACCGAGCCAUGCCGCGUGAAUGAAGAAGGUUUUCGGGUUGUAAAGCUCUGUUGUUAGGGAGGCGUUAUCUGACGAAGAAGCGACGGCUAACUACGUGCCAGCAGCCGCGGUAAUAC